rnacentral:rRNA from 1 species
GACGAACGCUGGCGGCGUGCUUAACACAUGCAAGUCGAACGGAAAGGCCCUGCUUUUGUGGGGUUCUCGAGUGGCGCACGGGUGUGUAACACGUGAGUAACCUGCCCUUGACUUUGGGAUAACUUCAGGAAACUGGGGCUAAUACCGGAUAGGAGCUCCUGCUGCGUGGUGGGGGUUGGAAAGUUUCGGCGGUGGGGGAUGGACUCGCGGCUUAUCAGCUUGUUGGUGGGGUAGUGGCUUACCAAGGCUUUGACGGGUAGCCGGCCUGAGAGGGUGACCGGCCACAUUGGGACUGAGAGACGGCCCAGAAUCCUACGGGAGGCAGCAGUGGGGAAUAUUGCACAAUGGGCGGAAGCCUGAUGCAGAAACGCCGCGUGCGGGAUGACGGCCUUCGGGGUGUAAACCGCUUUCGCCUGUGACGAAGCGUGAGUGACGGUAAUGGGUAAAGAAGCACCGGCUAACUACGUG